UUUUAGCCCAGAUAGAAAUGGAAAGCUUUUGCAGUUGGCUUGUAUUUUUUCUUGACACGAAAGAGCGACCAACGGAAGCUCCUUUUGUGGCUUUGAAAAAAACAGGCCUACAAAAAACUUGGAAUGUAUAGCUGGAAUGGCU
rnacentral:sRNA from 26 species